GUGACGAAGCGACGCCGCGUGGGUGAGGAAGGCCUUCGGGUUGUAAAGCCCUGUCAGGAGUUAAGAAAUGUAAGUGUGCUAAUAUCACAUUUAUUUGACGAAGGCUCCAAAGGAAGCCACGGCUAACUCUGUGCCAGCAGCCGCGGUAAUACAGAGGUGGCAAGCGUUGUUCGGAAUUAUUGGGCGUAAAGAGCACGUAGGUGGGUUUGUAAGUCAGAUGUGAAAGCCUUCUGUUCAACGGAAGAAUUGCAUCUGAAACUGCGAGUCUUGAGUGUAGGAGGGGAGAAUGGAACUUCUGGUGGAGCGGUGAAAUGCGUAGAUAUCAGAAGGAACGCCGGCGGCGAAAGCGAUUCUCUGGCCUAUUACUGACACUCAGUGUGCGAAAGCUAGGGGAGCAAACGGGAUUAGAUACCCCGGUAGUCCUAGCUGUAAACGAU
rnacentral:rRNA from 1 species